GCCGUACUCCUCUGAAGGUUGAUGGUUCUCUCGAGGAUUUGAACCCAGCGGCCUUCGACCUACUCAUAGGCUCGACCGGAAAGUCAUUACCUGACCCAUCCAGCAAAUCUACGUCACGCGCUGCGUUCCCUCCAGAUCGACAGCAACGUUACGACCAAGUGUCACGGCGAGCUACAUCCCCUGUUUAUAAAAGAACCGUGCCCGCACCCCGAUAUGGUACAGGAAACCCACUUGGGCAGUCUCGAACAGGGCCGAAAGAUGGACCUGGCAUGUCGUUUGUCAUGCUAAGUGAGUCCCAAGUGGUCCCUGCGCAUGCCGCUCCAACAGUGAACGGUGAUGUUCGGCGACCAUCAAAAGGAAGUCUACGGAACCUGUCUGAAGCACAAACAACAGAGCAUGGGACCCAAACAUAUUCUGAUCAAAUUGAAAAAACCACCCGUCUAUUCGAGAUCAUAUCUGCGCGUUCUGAUAUCGAUCACCCGAUCUGUACCGAAUGCACCGAGAUUCUCAUCGAAGGGCUUCAGAAAAGGCUACAGACCGCAACAAAGGAACGGGACGCAUAUGUCUCAUUUUUGAAAAAUUUAAAUAACUCCAUUCCAUCUCCAGAGGAAGUACAGGCUGCAGAAGAUGAUCUCAAAGCAACACUACAGGCCGAGGAAGAUGCCUUUCAGGAGCUUCUUGCCCUUGAGAAAGAAAAGGCUGCCGUUGACUUAGAGAUUGCUGAGUUAGAGGAGGAGUCUCGCAAGCUUGACCUAGAAGAAGAGCAAUUCUGGAGUGAUCGCAAUGCAUUUGCAUUGAAACUAUCCGACUUCCAAAAUGAACGCGAUGCUUUGAACAUGAAGUACGAUCAUGAUUCUCGGCAACUUGAGCGCCUUCAGCGGACGAAUGUUUAUAAUGACACUUUCUGCAUAGGCCAUGAUGGGUAUUUUGGCACCAUUAAUGGACUGCGUCUUGGUCGUCUCGCAAACCCGUCCGUUGAGUGGUCCGAAAUAAAUGCUGCCUGGGGCCAAACUCUUCUCCUGCUUGCUACUGUCGCCGACAAACUAGGCUUCCAAUUCCAAGGAUACAAAUUAAAACCUUUGGGCUCGACGUCAAGGAUCGAAAAGAUAGAAUAUCCCCAGCAGUCCCCGAAUGCUACCACGUCUCACCGAGGCCCUUCAAGUAAUCGUCCCGACACAACCCUCACACCAAAGAUUACAUCACUAGAUCUCUAUUCCUCGGGUGAUCUUCCCUUGCACCUCCCGUGGCUCCACCGUCGUUUCGAUGCCGGUAUGGUUGCAUUUCUUGAAUGCCUUCGCCAAUUAGGUGAGCACGUGGAGCACACACCCGUAUCGUUACCUUCCCGUUCCCCACCUCCUAGACUCUCCAGAUAUCAAUCCCCAGGAAUUUCUUCGCCAGCGACUCGUUCUCUUCAAGCACAGAUUUCGGGCCUCAAACUGCCGUAUGAGAUCAAACGGGACAAAAUCGGAGAUGCGAGCAUCAAGCUUGGCUUCAACCAAAGUGACGAAACUUGGACCCGCGCUUGCAAGUAUACACUAACGUGCUGCAAGUUCUUGCUGGCACACGCGAGCAAUGUUACAAGCGCGGGAUCUGGUCCUCCUGUACCAGCUACAGCCGCGAUUGUGCCGAACCGUUGAGAGCCAAAGUGUACAAUGUUCCGUUGGCAAGGCAACGAAAUCUCAAUGUAUGAGAUUAUGUAUAUUUUGGGUUGAAUAAGAACGGGUGUCUUUUACGCCCAUAUUUAUACAUAAAAUAGAUCAAGGCUGGUUUAUUCAACCCCGAAAAGGAAUAUUUGCUGGGAAAUCAGUCUACGCCGUUCUGCCCAGCUCAGCUUCCUUGUACGAUACCCCAACCGAUUUUCAAAAAGGCCACCCUUUGCGCCAUUGGCCCGAUUAUAUCCGUCUCUUAUCCGGAACCCUACUCCAUCUCGCAACAUUCUCUAUUGGCUCCUCCACUCAACCCGUUGCUGCCUACAAGAAAAGACUUAACCAACACUCUUCAAGUAAGAUAGCCUGGUAGAAAAUCGGCGAAGAAAGAAGGAGAAUGUUGUGGAUAUGUAUAUAUAAGGUGGAAUAAGCCAUGUGGGUCCGUCCGUUCAGGUGUCUCGCCUCCAUCCCCUCAACUAAAUCAACAUAUUCCGAACAAAAUACCUCCGUUCCUGUUAGAAACCAAAGCUUUGUAAUAUGGUAUCAUCGGGAUCGUUAUUGUUAAUAUCUGAAAAUGAAGAAAGAGAGACCUUAGGGCGCAGAAAGGAUUUUGACCACCGGGAGUUUUUCUUCUCAUGAUCUAAGCAUACAUACAUAUAUGUUCAAGCUCACAUUGCAGCGAUUUGCCGAGCGUAAAGUUAAAAGCGGUAACCUAGAUGGAGCUUAUGCAAUAGUUUAUCAAUACCGUCCUUUAUUCUCUGUUCUGUUAUUGUCACCAAGGAUGAAGAAGUUUCGGUUCACUCUGGUUGUUUGAGAGAAUGUAUGUUAGAGAACAGAAGUCUGCUACCUAAGUCAACAUACUUUACUUGAGAGA
rnacentral:sRNA from 1 species